rnacentral:rRNA from 1 species
UACGUAGGGGGCGAGCGUUGUCCGAAGUUACUGGGCGUAAAGCGCGCGUAGGCGGGUCGUUAAGUGGGAAGUGAAAGGCUGGGGCUCAACCCCAUGCAGUGCUUCUCAUACUGGCGGUCUUGAGUGAGGUAGGGAGAAGUGGAAUGGCUGGUGUAGCGGUGAAAUGCGCAGAUAUCGGGAGGAACACCAAUGGCGAAGGCAGCUCGCUGGGACGGUACUGACGCUGAGACGCGAAAGCGUGGGGAGCAAACAGG